CACGUAGGGCGCAAGCGUUGUCCGGAAUUAUUGGGCGUAAAGAGCUCGUAGGCGGUCUGUUGCGUCCGCUGUGAAAACCCGGGGCUUAACCCCUGGCUUGCAGUGGAUACGGACAGACUAGAGGUAGGUAGGGGAGAAUGGAAUUCCCGGUGUAGCGGUGAAAUGCGCAGAUAUCGGGAGGAACACCGGUGGCGAAGGCGGAUCUCUGGGCCUGUCCUGACGCUCAGGCGCGAAAGCUAGGGGAGCAAACAGG
rnacentral:rRNA from 1 species